GACGAACGCUGGCGGCGUGCUUAACACAUGCAAGUCGAACGGAAAGGCCCUGCUUUUGUGGGGUGCUCGAGUGGCGAACGGGUGAGUAACACGUGAGUAACCUGCCCUUGACUUUGGGAUAACUUCAGGAAACUGGGGCUAAUACCGGAUAGGAGCUCCUGCUGCAUGGUGGGGGUUGGAAAGUUUCGGCGGUUGGGGAUGGACUCGCGGCUUAUCAGCUUGUUGGUGGGGUAGUGGCUUACCAAGGCUUUGACGGGUAGCCGGCCUGAGAGGGUGACCGGCCACAUUGGGACUGAGAUACGGCCCAGACUCCUACGGGAGGCAGCAGUGGGGAAUAUUGCACAAUGGGCGGAAGCCUGAUGCAGCAACGCCGCGUGCGGGAUGACGGCCUUCGGGUUGUAAACCGCUUUCGCCUGUGACGAAGCGUGAGUGACGGUAAUGGGUAAAGAAGCACCGGCUAACUACGUGCCAGCAGCCGCGGUGAUACGUAGGGUGCGAGCGUUGUCCGGAUUUAUUGGGCGUAAAGGGCUCGUAGGUGGUUGAUCGCGUCGGAAGUGUAAUCUUGGGGCUUAACCCUGAGCGUGCUUUCGAUACGGGUUGACUUGAGGAAGGUAGGGGAGAAUGGAAUUCCUGGUGGAGCGGUGGAAUGCGCAGAUAUCAGGAGGAACACCAGUGGCGAAGGCGGUUCUCUGGGCCUUUCCUGACGCUGAGGAGCGAAAGCGUGGGGAGCGAACAGGCUUAGAUACCCUGGUAGUCCACGCUGUAAACGGUGGGUACUAGGUGUGGGGUCCAUUCCACGGGUUCCGUGCCGUAGCUAACGCUUUAAGUACCCCGCCUGGGGAGUACGGCCGCAAGGCUAAAACUCAAAGGAAUUGACGGGGCCCCGCACAAGCGGCGGAGCAUGCGGAUUAAUUCGAUGCAACGCGUAGAACCUUACCUGGGUUUGACAUGGAUCGGGAGUGCUCAGAGAUGGGUGUGCCUCUUUUGGGGUCGGUUCACAGGUGGUGCAUGGCUGUCGUCAGCUCGUGUCGUGAGAUGUUGGGUUAAGUCCCGCAACGAGCGCAACCCUUGUUCACUGUUGCCAGCACGUUAUGGUGGGGACUCAGUGGAGACCGCCGGGGUCAACUCGGAGGAAGGUGGGGAUGACGUCAAGUCAUCAUGCCCCUUAUGUCCAGGGCUUCACGCAUGCUACAAUGGCUGGUACAGAGAGUGGCGAGCCUGUGAGGGUGAGCGAAUCUCGGAAAGCCGGUCUCAGUUCGGAUUGGGGUCUGCAACUCGACCUCAUGAAGUCAGAGUCGCUAGUAAUCGCAGAUCAGCAACGCUGCGGUGAAUAAAUUCCCGGG
rnacentral:rRNA from 1 species